AUCUCUGCAGUAUUCCUUCAGCCUCACGGAAAAUAUAAUUAAAUGGCUAAAACUUCUGCAAAUUUUCCAAGUCUUAUGGUGAUCCUGGAUCUCUUCUCUGGUACAGGUACCUUGGCCUUCAAGCAUAGUCAGACAAGUGGAAAGAACUGGAAACACCUGGACCAGGCUUGGUGAAUGCCUUGUAGCUGCAGCAGAAUCUGGACUGGACCAGUAACUUGGGAUGCCAAAAGUGAAAGAGAGAGACUCAAAUCCAGCUGUGAGUUACUAUCACCUGUACUAAAGGGCAAAACCAGCACAUGAAUUGGAUUUGGCCAUCUGUGAACCCUGACUUUGGAAAAUUAUUCUUCUCUACAAAAUACUGGGAAAUCCCUGGCUGGUAUGACUGUACAAAGUUCUAAUGAGGCAUAGACAUGUGCCAAGAAGAAGAAUGCUGCACAGAAGGUGUUUCAUUCUGACUGUAGGAGCUAAAAGAAAAUGAAAUGUGGGGUUUUGAAUACUGGUGAGGACAGAAGAAGAGAAGAAAGGAUUCCUGGGGUAGAUAAAUGAAACCAACAGGCAUUGGCUACAAGAACAUGAGCUUUUAAGCUAGAUUUCAGAAAUUACUUUGCUUCCUGAGGGCUUUGCUUCAUUGGUUAAAAUAGGUGCAUGUGUUUGAGUAGCUGGGAUUCAGCAAGAAAACACCAAUCAAUUACUCUGAAAGCAUGAGACUCCCCAGGGGCAGAAACCAAAGGCAAAAACUGGGCUGUUACAGGUGUGGGACCAAAUUAGUAACACAAUAUGAGAAUUUUUGGCUGCAGAGAUAAGUGGUCAGUGGUACUUGUAAGGAGUAAGUUAAAUGUGGAAUGCCAACCUCAUCUCUUAAAUGUGGGGAGCAAUGAAUCCACAGUAAAUGUUUCUUUUCUCUGCUACAGGGUGAGUUCAUCUCCUGUUAUUUUAUCUCCUUGUCUGUCCAGCUGGGAUGGACUAAAUUCUGAAGUAGCUGAAGAGAUAGAAGAUCUAGAAAAAACCUGAACACUGCAGCUGCUGUGCCUCUGGUGUUGUUAGUUACCUUACCCAUGUAUUUGUAUUUACCUUAAAAGUUUAGAAGAAGCCCUAUGACAUGAAUGAGGUGUGGCAUCUGACAGUAGCAGCCCUGGAAGAAAGAGAUGCCAUUAGGAGAUACUUCUAAUGGGAACAGAUCCCAAAAAGCAUUGCCUAUGUAAAUGACAAGUAAAAGUACCAGCCUCUGGAGAGAGGUGUCCCUCAGUGACUUCAAAAUACUCAGCUUGGGUAACUAGGUAAGAAAAGGACCACCAACAUCUCUAUACUUAAUGGUGAAGUGGCAAGUGAAAAACCCAUCAUCACAGAUGACAUGUGCCAGGACAGAAGAAGCACAGAAUCUCAGAAAGGGCAAGGGAAGAGCAUCUCAGAUCAGCUGCUCUUUGCACCUGCGAAUACGUGACGUAUGUAAUUCAGACUUGCCUCAGCCUCGAUGUACGGAAACGAUAACUACUUGUGGU